AUCAGAUGAAGACCUCCUAACUUUAUUUGAUAGAAAUCCUAAACUUUUUCAUAAUAAUCUCCUGAAAGCCAUCGAAAGGUGGCUUUUUU
rfam:Streptococcus intermedius B196, complete genome.